AUGGUAAGGGAACCCUUUCUUUUCUUUGGGUCUAAGAGAUUAUAUCAUGGCUAUGUCUAUUGGUGUGUUAGUUUGGAAUGUCAGGGGCUGAAUAACCCUGCUAUGCGUAACUCGGUCCGUCUAUUUCUGCAAACUUGCAAUGCUUCCCUUGUUUGUUUUCAAGAAUCAAAGUUGGUUCUGGUGGAUAAUGUGAUGGUUGGGCAAACUUUAGACCCGGCCUUUGAUGGCUUUGAUUUUCUUCCAGCUGAGGGAACUAGAGGGGGGAUUCUGCUUGCUUAG
rnacentral:rRNA from 1 species